rnacentral:rRNA from 1 species
AGUGGAAGCGUCUGGAAAGGCGCGCGAUACAGGGUGACAGCCCCGUACACAAAAGCGCAUGUGCUGUGAGCUCGAUGAGUAGGGCGGGACACGUGGUAUCCUGUCUGAAUAUGGGGGGACCAUCCUCCAAGGCUAAAUACUCCUGACUGACCGAUAGUGAACCAGUACCGUGAGGGAAAGGCGAAAAGAACCCCGGCGAGGGGAGUGAAAAAGAACCUGAAACCGUGUACGUACAAGCAGUGGGAGCACCCUUUGGGGUGUGACUGCGUACCUUUUGUAUAAUGGGUCAGCGACUUAUAUUCUGUAGCAAGGUUAACCGUAUAGGGGAGCCGYAGGGAAACCGAGUCUUAACCGGGCGUUAAGUUGCAGGGUAUAGACCCGAAACCCGGUGAUCUAGCCAUGGGCAGGUUGAAGGUUGGGUAACACUAACUGGAGGACCGAACCGACUAAUGUUGAAAAAUUAGCGGAUGACCUGUGGCUGGGGGUGAAAGGCCAAUCAAACCGGGAGAUAGCUGGUUCUCCCCGAAAGCUAUUUAGGUAGCGCCUCGUGAAYUCAUCUCCGGGGGUAGAGCACUGUUUCGGCUAGGGGGCCAUCCCGGCUU